rnacentral:lncRNA from 1 species
AUGGCUCAUAGCCGUAUCACACCAUCAAAUAACUUAUAAAAUAAUCUUAGUCCCUAAAUGAGAGUUUAAGCUUUAUAAUGUGAUUAGUAGUCGGAGCAGUGUGAAGACGGACUCGUAAUGAAUUUUUGUCGAUUCCGUUAGCUGAAUUAGGUGAUUUCAGACUUAGGGGCAUGUUUGGAUUGUGUGUUGGAGGUCCGUAGCUUAUUUAGGCUUGGAACAGAAAGUUUAAAUUUUGAAGAUUUCGAAUCGAUAGUGAGAUUUUGAUAUCGGGGUUAAAAUCUGAUUCUGAAAGUUAGAGUAACUCUAUAGUGGUGAAUGUGACUCGUGUGUAAAAUUUGGGGUCAGUUUGAACUUGGUUUGGUUGGUUUAAGCAUCGGGUGUAGAAUUCUUGAAAUGUCAAGCUCUUUAGGUUUGGAUUGGAGGGUGAUUUAUGGUUUUAGUAUUGUUUGAUGUAAUUUGAGGGUUGGACUAAGUUCGUAUGAUAUUUUAGGGUUAUUUGGAAUGUUAGGUUGAUGUCACUUGGGCCUUGGGUGAGUAUCGGAUGCUUAACGAAUUGGAAUUUGGACUUAGGCAAAAUCUGAGAUUGCUGAACCUGUCAUAAUU